rnacentral:ncRNA from 1 species
CUUUGCAAUCGCGGGAGCUCGGAGCACCGGGCUGAGAGGGCGCUGACCUCCGUACGAACGGUACGGGAACCGCUGCGUCGACCGCCGAACCUGUUACCGGGUAAUGCCGGCGUAGGGAGUUACGGUCUCAUGACC